rnacentral:lncRNA from 1 species
UUUUUUUUUUUUUUUUCUUUUUUUAAGAGAAAACUUCCAAAUAUUAUUCCUGCAAUUUCAUUUUUUUUAAAUUUUAGUACUAUAUGUUUUAAAGUCUAUUAAUUUAGUAUUCUACAAUUUUAUUUUUCUCUUUUUAUUAUCUACUCCACUAAAUUUUUUUCGUUAAAUCAGCUAUAAAGUUAAAACUAAAAUAUACUAAAGUGAAUAUUCAAUAAAUAUAGAUGAAAUAUCAGAAAUUUUUUAUAUAUAAUUUAAUAAAAUGUUAACGAAAGAACUGACAAAAAAAAAAAAAAAAUCACGGAGUACUAAAUUAAUACAUUUUAAAUCACAGAAUAUUAAAAUGAAAAAAUCCGAAAC